rnacentral:rRNA from 2 species
UACAUGGGGUGCAAACGUUGCUCGGAAUUAUUGGGCGUAAAGCGCGCGUAGGCGGUUACUUAAGUCGGAUGUGAAAGCCCUCGGCUUAACUGAGGAAGUGCACCCGAAACUGAGUAGCUAGAGUACGAAAGAGGGUCGCGGAAUUCCCGGUGUAGAGGUGAAAUUCGUAGAUAUCGGGAGGAACACCGGUGGCGAAGGCGGCGACCUGGGUCGAGACUGACGCUGAGGCGCGAAAGCGUGGGGAGCAAACAGG